GAUGAACGCUGGCGGCGUGCCUAAUACAUGCAAGUCGAGCGAAGAGGGGACGGGUGAGUAACACGUGGAUAACCUCCUAUAAGACUGGGAUAACUUAGGGAAACCGGAGCUAAACCGGAUACGUAUUGAUGGAUCAGCGAUGCAUUAGCUCUUUGGUAAGUUAACGGCUUACCAAGGCAACGAUGCAUAGCCGACCUAAGAGAGUGAUCGGCCACACUGGAUAUGAGACACGGUCCAGACUCCUACGGGAGGCAGCAGUAGGGAAUCUUCCGCAAUGGGCGAAAGCCUGACGGAGCAACGCCGCGUGAGUGAUGAAGGUCUUCGGAUCGUAAAACUCUGUUAUUAGGGAAGCGGUACCUAAUCAGAAAGCCACGGCUAACUACGUGCCAGCCGCCGCGGUAAUUC
rnacentral:rRNA from 1 species